rnacentral:rRNA from 1 species
AUGAACGCUGGCGGCGUGCCUAAUCCAUGCAGGUCGAGCGAACAGACGAGGAGCUUGCUCCUCUGACGUUAGCGGCGGACGGGUGAGUAACACGUGGAUAACCUACCUAUAAGACUGGGAUAACUUCGGGAAACCGGAGCUAAUACCGGAUAAUAUAUUGAACCGCAUGGUUCAAUAGUGAAAGACGGUUUUGCUGUCACUUAUAGAUGGAUCCGCGCCGCAUUAGCUAGUUGGUAAGGUAACGGCUUACCAAGGCAACGAUGCGUAGCCGACCUGAGAGGGUGAUCGGCCACACUGGAACUGAGACACGGUCCAGACUCCUACGGGAGGCAGCAGUAGGGAAUCUUCCGCAAUGGGCGAAAGCCUGACGGAGCAACGCCGCGUGAGUGAUGAAGGUCUUCGGAUCGUAAAACUCUGUUAUUAGGGAAGAACAAAUGUGUAAGUAACUAUGCACGUCUUGACGGUACCUAAUCAGAAAGCCACGGCUAACUACGUG